UACGUGGGGUGCAAGCGUUGUUCGGAAUUACUGGGCGUAAAGCGCGUGUAGGCGGUUCGCUAAGUUCGAUGUGAAAGCCCUGGGCUUAACCCAGGAACUGCAUUGAAAACUGGCGGACUUGAGUCCGGGAGAGGGUCGCGGAAUUCCUGGUGUAGAGGUGAAAUUCGUAGAUAUCAGGAGGAACACCGGUGGCGAAGGCGGCGACCUGGACCGGUACUGACGCUGAGACGCGAAAGCGUGGGAGCAAACAGG
rnacentral:rRNA from 1 species